UAUAUGUACAUGUACAUAUACAUACAUAUAUGUACACACACAGAUAUAUAUGCUUUUUGGUGUGUGCACGCGCAUGCGUGUGUGUGUGUGUGUGUGUGUUGGGGACACAUGUAUGCAGAGGUCAGAGGACAACCUACAGGAGUUGACUUUUCCUUUCACUUUGUGUGUUCUGAGGAUUUAACACAAGCAGGUCAUGAGGCUUAGGGAGAAGCACCUUGAACUCAUUUUCAUUGACUGGCAUGUUAUCUACAGUUUCCAUUGGCAAACCCAACUUCUCUACAUGAAAGUGCUAUGUCAUUGCAGGUAUUCAAAUGGCUUUAGGGAUCUGGCUGAACAGUCACCUAAAAGUCUCCUUCUAGACUCAUGACUCAUUGGGCCAUAGCCAACAGAGGCCACACACUGCUGUUUCCACUCAAGACUUAAAGAAGGUGUGCUGGCUACUUGACACAAGCUAGAGUCAUCUGAAAGGAGAGAACUCCAAUUAAGAAAAUGCCUCCAUAAGAUCUGGCUGUAGGACAUUUUCUUAAUUAGUGAUUCAUGGAGGAAGGCCCAGCCUAUUGGGGUUGGUGCCGUUCCUGGGCUGGUGGUCCUGGCAUCUAUAGGAAAGUAGGCUGAACAAGUGAUGGGGAGCAAGCCAGUAAGCAGCACCCCUCCAUGGCCUCUGCAUCAGCUCCUGCCUCCAGGUUCCUGCCCUGCUUGAGUUCCCGCCCUCACUGCUUUGGAAGAGAAACUGUUACAUGGAACCGUGAGUGAAAUAGACCCUUUCCUCCCCAAGACGCUUUUGGUCAUGGUGUUUCAUCAUAGCAAUAGAAACCAUAACCAAGAUAGAAGGGAAUGACCCUUUUGCUAAAUUGUACCAUUCACAGGGUAUCCUGUUUCUGGGACCCUUGAAAGAUAGUCAUGGUUUGCUACUCAAAUAAAAUUAGACAUUAGAAGGGAACUAAAUUAGAAUCUGAUGGUGAAUGGUCACAUGGCCUGCUUGGGGAGCUGAGAAGAGAAUCCCCACCUAAUUAGUUCUUUAUUAAACCAAAGCACCCGAUCUUUGUGCUACUCUGGACAUUUUGUUCCAUAUAGGACAAAUGCAAGAGCAGGGGCUGAUACGUCCACUGGAAAAUAACAAGUACCAGAAGCUGGGUGGUGCCGAAGUAUAGGAAUGGUGGCAAAGACCAAGUAUGGGCUGUUUCCUAAACUCAAAGAAGAGAGGAAACUUUCAGCGAUGCGUAUGACUUGCAAAUCUCUCAGUAGGAUACUGGGCCACACAUGACCAAGGCCUCUUGUGUGGGAAGGAAUUCCAUCAUGAAUGGAGUAGACUGAGAACAGCUUGAAGGCAGGAAGGGACCUUUCCAUCAGUGUAUCAUCAGUAUUUGGCAUGGCGGCUAGGACAUAGUAGCAAUCUAACAGCUGUUUGUUGAAUAACUUAAUGAAGUUCUUGGCCAUAUGGUAAUAAAUCAUUGAUCACC